AAUAUCAAAGGUGAGCCAGUACAGGAUGGACCCGCGUCUGAUUAGCUAGUUGGUAAGGUAACGGCUUACCAAGGCGACGAUCAGUAGCCGACCGGAGAGGGUGAUCGGCCACAUUGGAACUGAGACACGGUCCAAACUCCUACGGGGGGCAGCAGUGGGGCAUAUUGCACAAUGGGCGAAAGCCUGAUGCAGCAACGCCGCGUGAGUGAUGAAGGCCUUCG
rnacentral:rRNA from 1 species